rnacentral:lncRNA from 1 species
UCCCCCAAAAGAGUGUUCCUGCACAUGUUGAGAAAUGCUUCUGAUUAGGGCUACUUCAACAGGGAACAUAGCAUAGAGUGGACACUGAGAAUAAACUGUGGGUGUCACAUUUGGAGAAAGUAGCACAAAACGUGUUGGAUUUCCACUUUGAAUUGCAUUCAUCACUAUAGGUCAAAAUGAAGUGAAACCUGCAAAUUAAAAGCAUCCCUGCCAGCAAACCCAUGAAAUUAGAAUGACCAAAUUUGCAGGGCUAAUUAAACUUAUGAAUGGAUUCAUGAUGCUCAUUAUCAAUGAACUUCUCAGGAAAAAUUUGGUCAGAGAUUCCAGUAAAUUUGGAAGCUGCUCAAAGGCUCCCCAAAGAAGGAGUUCCUGCUCUCACUGAGAAAUACAACUGCUUAGAGUUACUUCAACAGAUAUAAGAAGAUAACUGAGUUUGUGAAGUCUCAAUCAAGUAGCACAAUCCAUGUUUGAUUUUUGUUUGCAAUUGCUUUCAUCCAUAUUGGGCAAAACUAUGUGUAAUCUGAAAAUUCAAAGCAUUUCUCUCACCGAAUCCUUGAUCGUAAAAGACACAAAUUUGGAGGGCAAGGUAAGACUGGUGCAAUAUUCAAUCUUGCCCAGUAUCCAAAACAUCCACUGAAAACCUUAAUCAGAAUUCCAGUAAGUUUUAACAUUAAUGUUAGCUGCUAAAAUGCUCCCCAUAACAUGUAUUACUGCAUGUGCUGAAUACUGCAAUAAGAAUCAAAGCCAGAGUGCACCCUGAGAACUGAUUCUUCGAAGUUUUAAGCAGUUAGCCUAAACUGUUUUGGAUUUUCAGUUCAAAAUACAUUCAUCAUUGUAGGGCAAAAAGAAGUGAAACUUAAAAUUAAAAGCAUUCCUGCCAGAGGAUACAUGAACAUAGGAAGAUCAAAUAUUGAAGGGCAAGAUAAGACUGGUGAAUGACCAACUUGCCCAGUAUCAACAAAAUCUAUGGGAAAUGUUCAUGCAGAAAUCCCAGUAAAUUCACACUUUCCUGCCAGGGCCAAAUACCACCCAACAGAAGGUGUUCUUAGAUGUGCUGAGAAAUGCUUCUGCCUAGCAAUACUUCAAUAGGGAUCAAAGCAGUGUGUGGAAAUUAAGAACUAACUGAGUCUGUGAAGUUGAGAGAACCUUGCUCAAACUCAGCUCCAUUUAUAUUUCCAAUUACAUUAAUCAAUAUAGUGUUAAACAAAGUGAAACCUGAAAAUUCAAAGCCUUCUUUCCAGGAAAUUCUUGAACCUAGGAGGACCAUAUUUGGGGGCCAAUGUGAGAUUGCAGGAAGUAUCAAUGUGGCCCAGUAUCAACAACAUUCGCAAGAAAAAUUUGAGCAGAUAUUCUAGUAAAUGUGAACUCUCCUGCAAGUUUCCAAAAUGCUCCCAAUAGAAGGUGUUCCUGCACUUGCUGAGAAAUGCUUGUGCUUAGGGCUACUUAAACAGGGAACAGAGCAUGAAGUGAAAACUGAAGACUAACUGAUUGUGUGAACUUUCAUAUCACUAGCACCAACCAUUUUGGAUUUCAAAUUCCAAUUGCAUUGAUUCCUACAAGGAAAAUUGAAGUGAAACCUUCAAAUUUGAAGCCUACUUGGCAGCAAACCCUUGAACCAAGGAAGACCAAAUGUGGGCUGCAAGAUAGGAAUGGUGAAAAAAUCCAUCCUUCCCAGUACCAAUGAAAUCCUUAAGAAAACUUUGGCUAGAGAUUUCAGUAAAUUGGGACUUUCUUGCAAGGUUCUGGAACGCUCCCCCCAAAAGGUGUUUCUGCAUGUGUUGAGAAAUGCUUCUAGUUAGGGCUACUUCAACAGGAAACAGAGCACAGAAUGCACACUAUGAACUAACUGAGUGUGUCAUCUUUGAAGAAACUAUCACAAAACAUGUUGGAUUUCCAGUUUCAAUUGCAUUCAUCACUAUAGUUCAAAAUGAAGUGAAACUUGCAAAUUGAAAGCAUUCCUGCCAGUGAACUCCUGAACCUAGAGUGACAAAAUUGUGGGGGCUAAUGAAUCUCUUGAAUGGGUCCAUCUUGCCCAUUAUCAAUGAACUCCUUAGUCAAAAUUGGGGCAGAAAUUCCAGUAAGUUCAGAUAUUCCUGCAAAAGGAGGUGUUCUUGCACUAGCUGAGAAAUGCAACUGCUUAGAGCUUUUUUCAACACAGAAAAGAGCACAGAAUGUACACUGAAAAAUAACUGUGUGCAGCCUCAAGCAAGUAGCACAAAUCAUGUUUGAUUUUCAUUUACAAUUGCUUUCAUCCCUAUAGUGCAAAACUAAGUGUAAUCUGAAAAUUCAAAGUCUUCCCCUCAGCACAUUCUUGCACAUAAAAGAAUCAAGUUUGGAAGGCAAGGUGGAACUGGUGCAAGGAUGAAUCUUGCCCAGUAUCCAAAACCUCCAUUGAAAAACUUGGUCAUAAUUCCAGUCAAAUCAAACAUUAAUGCAAGCUACCAAAAUCCUCACAAAAGAAGUUGUUAUAGCAUGUGAUGAAUGCUGCAACAAGGGACAAAGUCAGAGUGCACACUGAAAACUAAGUGAGUUUAUGUAGUUUCCAGCAGCACACACAAAUUUUGUUGGAUUCUAAUUCCAGUUACAUUCAUCCAUAUAGGUCUAAACACAGUGAAACCUGAAAAUUUAAAGUGUUCCUCGCAAGGAACCCUGAACCUAGGAAAACUAAAUUUGGGCAGGGAGCUAAAUGAGAUUGGUAAAUGGAUUCAUCCCAUCUAAUGUCAAUGAAAUCUGUAGAAAAAUUUUGUUUAAUUUGUUUACUGUUUUCAGUAAAUUCAGACUUUUCUUCAUGCUGCUUAAUCUCUUCCAAAAGGAGGUGUUCUUUUACCUGUUGGAAAUGCUUCUGCUUAAUGCUAAGCCAACAGGAACAGAGCAGUGAGUGCACACUGAAAAUUAACUGAGUGUGUGAAGUUUCAAGCACCUAGCCCAAACUGUUUAUAUUCCAGUUCUAAAUGCAUUCGUCUCUACAGGAAAAAACGAAGUAAAACCUGAAUAUUCAAUGCCUUGUUUCAGGCAAACCAUUGAACCAGGGAGAACAAAAUUUGAGGGAAAAGGUGGGACUGGUGCAAGGAUCAAUCUUAGCCCAGUUUAAAAAAAAUCUGCUGAAUAAUUGGUCAGACUUCCAGUCAGUUCAAACAUUAAUACAAGCUGCCAAAACACUCUCAAAAGAAAGUAUUACUACUCACAUUGCAUACGUCGAUAGGGGACAAAGCUGGGAGUGCACACUAGGAACUAACUGUGUCUGUGAUGUUUCAAACAGCUAACAAAAACCAUUUUUUUUGGAUUCCUGAUUGAAAAUGCAUUCAUCCUUGUAGGGUAAAAAAAUGAAUCCAGAAAAUUCAAAGCAUUCCUGCCAGAGAAUCCUUGAACCUUGGAAGACCACAUAUUGUUUGGCAAUGUAAGACUGGUGAAUGAUCAUCUUCCCCAACAUCAACAAAAUCUACAGGAAAAUUUUAUGCAGAAAUUCAAGUAAAUUCACACCUUCCUGCUUGGUGACAAAUUACACCCAAUAGAAGGUGUUCUAUCUCAUGUUAAGAAAUGCUUCUGCCUAGGGAUACAUCAACAGGGAUUGAAGCAGGGAGUGCACAUUAAGAAGUAACCGAGUUUGUAAAGUUUCAAGAACCUAGAACAAACAAUUUUUGAGAUCCAUUUCUAAUUACAUCCAUAUCUAUAGUGCAAAACAAAGUGAAAUCUGAAAAUUCAAAGCCUUCUUUCCAGGAAUCUCUUAAACCUAGGAGUACCAUAUUUGGGGACCAAGGUAGGACUGCUAAAAGUAUCAAUCUGACACAAUAUCAAUAAAAUUUUCAGGAAAAAUUUGCACAGAAAUUCUUG